ensembl:lncRNA
UUCUGUUGUUUGUAUCCGUUCAUCUUCUACUUACCCGCAUGUUUUCAUGUUUAAACUCAAAUACCUCUUUCAGCCAUUCCUUGCGAACCUGGAGAACCUGCAGCUCUUCGGUCAGACCAGCGUUCCUGAUGAAGUCUUGGAAUACUACGUGUCUCUGCUGUUCGAGAUGAAUCCGUCCUUCAGUGCCUACUAUCUUCCUCUGAAGUUCCUCUGCUUGGCUCCUGCGAGCUCCUUCCUUCAGUUGAGUCUGGAGCAGAUGAAGAACAUCUCACCCAGCGUCCAUCAGAACUGCAUCGACAUCCUACCUGAAGUGUCGGCGGCUCUGGCGAGUAAUGCAGAGGUUCUGACGGUGGACGCCAUUGUGGCUCUGGGUCAGUCGUCCACAGGUUUGAGCACGGCUCAGAUCAGCGGCGCUGGAGGGAACUUGCUGCUCAACACGCUCUCCGUGCUCAGUCUCGUUCAGGACUGGAACCUCGAUCAGGCCAUGAUGAUCAUCCAAACCCUGCUGUCGUCUGGAGUUUACCAGGUACAGACCCCCAAUACCUCUCAAAGCCCAACGAAUCACACAACAUGUGCCUCUCAGGAACACAUU